AUUGAACGCUGGCGGCAUGCCUUACACAUGCAAGUCGAACGGCAGCACGGGAGCAAUCCUGGUGGCGAGUGGCGAACGGGUGAGUAAUAUAUCGGAACGUGCCCAGUCGUGGGGGAUAACGUAGCGAAAGCUACGCUAAUACCGCAUACGAUCUAUGGAUGAAAGCGGGGGAUCGCAAGACCUCGCGCGAUUUGAGCGGCCGAUAUCAGAUUAGGUAGGUGGUGAGGUAAAGGCUCACCAAGCCGACGAUCUGUAGCUGGUCUGAGAGGACGACCAGCCACACUGGGACUGAGACACGGCCCAGACUCCUACGGGAGGCAGCAGUGGGGAAUUUUGGACAAUGGGCGCAAGCCUGAUCCAGCAAUGCCGCGUGCAGGAUGAAGGCCUUCGGGUCGUAAACUGCUUUUGUACGGAACGAAACGGCGAGCUCUAAUACAGCUUGCUAAUGACGGUGCCGUAAGAAUAAGCACCGGCUAACUACGUGCCAGCAGCCGCGGUAA
rnacentral:rRNA from 1 species